GCUGUAAUCAAUGCACAUUAAACUCCCAGUCAGAGCUAUUCAGCUCUCUGAGGUGAGGGAGUUAGAGGAGUGAUAGAACCUCACCAGAAGAAGCCGCCUUUUAAUCUUCAUCAAGGGGGACUUUGAAACAAGUUCAGCAAAGAAGACAAAAGAAACCGCUUAUGGACUUUGGGAGCAGAUUUGAUCAGCCAUAUCACUGGUUUUUUUAAAUGAUGGUGUCUGUAAUCCACCAUAGGACAGACAUCUGGAGAUCACACAGGAACCAUUCAUACUUCAGGACUUGGUUAUGAUGCAGGGAACAGAACUGGGAAAUAAUGCUACUGAAAUGUGUGCACUUACAAUUUUUGCAGUCAGCAGCAAAUGUCUCCUACAUAUUCCAGUGCCAUCAAGAGUUUAGAGCUGACAAAG